GUUGAACCCUUGAAAACGAAAUGAUUAAAAGAACACAUGAUCACGAAAAGAACAGUGAAGACACUACGUAACUAUUAUAACAUAACAACAGUAAAAUUCUGAUGACUUUUGACUUUCCUUCAAAAUUAAUAAUAGUAACCAAAUUGCAAAAAAAAAACAAACUUUAAAUCAAAUGGAAAUACAUAGUUUCUGACGAUUUCUGCACAGCCUCAUAAUAUUGCUGACGUGGCAAUCAAUACGUUGGAAAAGGGAGUAAUCUGUCAUUACGUGGCGAAAGAAGUAAACCACCUUCGAUUUGAGUAUUAAAUAAUUGUUUGGUUACGGGGAGCAUUAGAAAGUCAACACGUCGAGGUUUUUCAGAAGAUUCUUGUGCAUUGCAAGGAUGUCGGAUAACGACGACGAUUUGGAGGCAGUCGA